GUGCCUGAAAUUUUGACUCAAGCCU
rnacentral:miRNA from 9 species